CUAAAUGUUGGUGAAGUCGAUGGGUCUGUUUCCUGCUCAAACAAGCCAUGAUAGGUGGCUGUUGAGGCACAAUAUUGGGUCUAGUUCAGGACCAGAUAGGAUAGGAUAUUGUAUUUGGUUUUAUUCCACUUCAAGCACUGCAUCAAACUAGUCAGUGAUUUUUUGUCUCUUGUACAAAGACACCUGCAUUUGUUAUAUUUCUCCACUCAUUUGUUUAGGUUUUCAGUUUGUCAGCUGUCUGUAUAUGUUCAAGAUUGUGGGGACAGCCCAUCCACUCCUGAGUCUCCUUUGUCGGUCUAAACUGUAGCUUACAGAAUGAUUUUCAGGCACAUGACUAAAAAAAGUAACUUCCUGUAUAAACACACCAGGCUUAUAGCAGCUAGUGAUAACCACCUGAUUAAAAUUCAUUUGUAUUUGUCUUUAUCUUCACUAAAUAGAUUUAGGUAAAUUCAUUUCAAAUUUCUACUCAGGCAUGUUCAUUUUGUUUAUAUGAAGUGCAGCUAGGUCAGCCAAUGAGUGAGCUAGGAGAGAGCGGUACAGCCCAAUGGAGAAGCAGGAGGCGGGCACUCUAAUCUGCGCAAAACAAGCAGUCAGUCUCCACGAGCUUGACAGGAGCUUUUUUUUCUUUUUUUUUUUUUUACCUUUCACAGCCAUGCCUACGGAGGGUGAAGGGAAGAGAGAGAGUGGGAAAGAGGUGGAGUGGCGAGAGAGACAGAGAAGUGACACAAAUCAAUGUGAGCACCCAAACCACCGUCACCAGCAGCAGCGACAGCCUCCCCGACCUCCAUCACCUCUCUGCCUUUCCCUGGGAGAGACAGAUAGAGACAGAGUCACAGGAAAGACAGUCUCCUCAACAACGCAGCAUCUGGAGUUGAGUGCAUCCAGAUAAACAGCUGGUGCUGCUAAUUCUCCAGUCAGGUGCCACUGAAGCAUUGCAGAGGAAGAGGGCACAACAAGAUGUCCUAAUUAAGUUACCAUCCUGUUCUUGUGCUGUGAUUCCCCGUGAUCACCUGUCAAUCAAACAGUAUGGACGGUACUGCUGCGUCCUCUUUUUGUGAUUUUCUGAUGAAGUUUCUGUAGCUGCCGCUCUUUUCACUCUCUGCAGCUCUAUCAUCUGUUGUUGUUGCUAACUCCCCAGCUCUUGUUCUUUUAACUUGAAACAAAUCGCUAUGGCUGUGGAAAUGCAAAUCAUAUCACUUCCUGCGCGACAGAGGACUUUCCUGCAUGUUUAGAACAGCAAGUGUAAGCUCUUUCAUGAACUGGAUAUGUCAGUCAACGAUAACAGUAGCAAAACUGUCAUCAAUGUUAUCACUGUAAGGAAGAGGCCAGGGGGCACAGCGGCUGUUUUGGCCUACGGGAAUGUAUCAGCAUCCACAUACCCACAGCAAACACACACUUAAAGUAGAGCAGUUAGAAAACACGCACACACACAUGUAACUCACAUAGAAUUCAAAGGCAUAAACUCAUAGAUAAAUCAUGCACAUACACAUACGGUUGUCUUUUGAACACCAACAUGUGUUACACCUGGGAUUAGCUAGAUGUUUGUGAGAUCAAAUGUUGUCCACCUCCCCCAUCCUACUUCCUAUUAUCUCUAAUGUGGAGAAUAAUCCUCUUGUGGAAUUAAUCUCUUCUGAAUAGCGUUUGUUACCAUGCUGAGAUAGAAU